GGUCGGUUCGGCCGGGUUUCACACAGGUGUUGCAUGGCUGUCGUCCAGCUUCCGUGUCCGUGAGAUGUUGGGUUAAGUUCCCGCAACGAGCGCAACCCUCAUCCUUAGUUUACCAUCAGGUAAUGCUGGGGACUUUAAGGAAACUGCCAGUGAUAAACUGGAGGAAGGUGGGGAUGAUGUCAAGUCAUCAUGGCCCUUAUGGAGUGGGCUACACACGUGCUACAAUGGUGGCUACAAUGGGCUGCAAAGUCGCGAGGCUAAGCUAAUCCCUUAAAAGCCAUCUCAGUUCGAAUUGUACUCUGCAACUCGAGUGCAUGAAGUUGGAAUCGCUAGUAAUCGUGGAUCAGCACGCCACGGUGAAUACGUUCUCGGGUCUUGUACACACUGCCUACGUCACGCCAUGGGAAUUGGUUUACUUCCAAACCUAAAAAGGGGGGGAA
rnacentral:rRNA from 1 species